rnacentral:lncRNA from 1 species
CAUAGGAAUAGCAUUAUAUCUCACUGGGUUACAUUAGGAUCAAUUUAUUCUGUUAAGCACUAAGAGAAAGCACUAGAAAAAAAUUUAAAUGUAACAGAAAUAUUCUUAAAGGAAUUAAAAUGUUACACUGAAAAUAAUUCAUGUAAUGCAAAAGGAAAUAGUAAACGGGGAGCAAAAAAGACAGAAAGGAUAGGCAGUGGCACACACCUAUAAUCCCAGCUACUCAGGAGGCUGAAUUGGGCGUAUCACACAUUUGAGGACGACGUAGGCAACUUAAUAAGACCUUGUCUAAAAAGAAAAAAAUUAAAAGGACUAAAUGCACAGUGGUAAAGCAUCAUUGAUCUCAAUCCCUAAUAAACAUCCCCCAAGCCACAAAGGGACAUGAGGCAUAUAUAAAUCUUACUGUUUCAAUAAAAAUUAAACAGCCUAUUAAACAGUCCAAAGGCAGACACUAUCAGGUUGGAUAAAAAUCACAGAACAAGUACUUCCUGUUUGACAUUGACAGGACAUGUACUUGAGAUUCAACUAUACAAGCAGGUUGAAAUAAAAUGAAGGGGAAAAAAAGAAUGACUUAAUGACAGUUGCUGGUAAAUGGGUGGACCUGAAGUCUAUCAUGCAAAGUAAGAUAAGCCAAUCCCAGAGAACCAAAGGUCGAAUGUUCUCUCUGGAUGCUGACACACAACAAGUGGGGAGAAUAAUAGAAGUUUAGUGCAUUAGACAAAGAAGAUGAAGGGAAGGGAGCAGAGAUAGGAACAGGAAAGAUAGUGGAAUGAAUCUGACAUAACUUUCCAUUUACAUAUAUGAAUAUGCCACAGUGAAUUUCUACAUUCAUGUAUAACCACCAUGGGAUCCUAAUUAGAAUAAGAUGUACUCCAUGUUUGUAUAAAU